rnacentral:lncRNA from 1 species
CGGUGGGCCGGGCCUUCACCACCCUGGUGACUUUGGUCCAGCUUGGCUGCCUAAUCCUCUACAAAAAUGCGAAGAAAGUAAACCAACAUGUACAAACACGAGUAAACGCAGGAAUAGGCGAGGGAAUGGUCAUCUCCAUGGCAGUGACGUUCCACGGUGCGAAUGGGCAGAGAGAGCCAGUGGCUUCCGGCCUUACAUAACCUUCUCACCUGGGAAGGGCCCCCUGUCCGGUGGACACGUGACUUGCAUGACCUUACCUAUCAUUGGAGACGACUCACACUCCUUACCCUGCCCUCUUGCCUUGUAUACAAUAAAUAACAGCAUGGCCAGGCAUUCAGGGCCACUACCAGUCUCCGUGCCUUGGUGGUAGUGGUCCCCUGGGCCCAGCUGUCUUUUCUUCUAUCUCUUUGUCUUGUGUCUUUAU